GCUUGCUUGGUGAUUCAUGAUAACUUUUCGAAUCGCAUGGCCUUGCGCCGGCGAUGUUUCAUUCAAAUUUCUGCCCUAUCAACUGUCGAUGGUAAGGUAGUGGCUUACCAUGGUUGCAACGGGUGACGGAGAAUUAGGGUUCGAUUCCGGAGAGGGAGCCUGAGAAACGGCUACCACAUCUAAGGAAGGCAGCAGGCACGAAAAUUACCCAAUCCCGAUUCGGGGAGGUAGUGACAAGAAAUAACGGUACGGGGCCUUUAUAGGUCUCGCAAUCGGAAUGAGAACAAUUUAAAUCCUUUAACGAGGAUCAAUUGGAGGGCAAGUCUGGUGCCAGCAGCCGCGGUAAUUCCAGCUCUAAUAGCGUAUAUUAAAGUUGUUGCAGUUAAAAAGCUCGUAGUUGGAUUUCGGAGCGGGCCCGUCGGUCCACCGCAAGGUGAGCUACUGGCGGGUCUGUUCUUCUUCGCAAAGACUGCAGGUGCACUUCGCUGUGUGCUUGUCGGAUUUGUGACGUUUACUUUGAAAAAAUUAGAGUGUUCAAAGCAGGCUUUCGCUUGAAUACAUGAGCAUGGAAUAAUGGAAUAGGACUUUGGUUCUAUUUUGUUGGUUUCUAGGACCGAAGUAAUGAUUAAGAGGGACAAACGGGGGCAUCUGUAUUUCGUUGUCAGAGGUGAAAUUCUUGGAUUUGCGAAAGACAAACAACUGCGAAAGCACUUGCCAAGAGUGUUUUCAUUAAUCAAGAACGAAAGUUAGAGGAUCGAAGACGAUCAGAUACCGUCCUAGUUCUAACCAUAAACGAUGUCGACUAGGGAUCGGCGGGCGUUAUUUUAUGACCCCGUCGGCACCUUACGGGAAACCAAAGUUUUUGGAUUCCGGGGGUAGUAUGGUUGCAAAUCAUGCGUCUUCAUGUGAGGCAAAAAGCAUUCAUCCCGGUGGAUGGGUGCUUUGAGAACGUAAAAACGAUCCAAUGCGUUCUCCAGUCUUACAGAAAGCGUAAGUUGGAACACAACGUCGUAUUUAUUGAUCUUGCCAAGGCCUUUGACACGGUCUUGCAUGACUCGAUAAGGAAAGCGUUGUGGCGGAAAGGUGUUCCGUCUGGGGUUGUUAAAGUGGUAGACAGCUUAUAUGCGGGAGCUGUCACAAGCAUAAGUGUUGGAAAAACGAAAACUCGUUCUAUAUGUAUAAACUCUGGAGUCAAGCAGGGUUGUCCUCUGUCACCUCUUCUGUUCAACCUAAUACUGGAUGAACUGGCGGAGAGGAUAGAGGCAACCGGCUGCGGGUUAGAUCUUGAUGGUCACGUUCUAUCAUCUAUGGCCUUUGCUGACGACUACGUGUUGCUAGCGAAGGACUCCGUGGAGAUGAACGAGUUGAUAAGAGUGUGUAGUACAUUCUUCAAAGAGAAAGGCUUAUCUGUAAACCCAGGUAAAUGUCAAUCGCUAAGAGUUCUUCCCGUAAAGGAGAAGAAACGGUCAAUG
rnacentral:rRNA from 1 species